rnacentral:rRNA from 1 species
CACCGGCAGCUCGAGUGAUGGCCGAUAUUAUUGGGCCUAAAGCGUCCGUAGCUGGCCGGACAGGUCCGUUGGGAAAUCCACUCGCUCAACGAGUGGGCGUCCAGCGGAAACCGUUCGGCUUGGGACCGGAAGACCCGAGGGGUACGUCCGGGGUAGGAGUGAAAUCCUGUAAUCCCGGACGGACCACCGGUGGCGAAAGCGCCUCGGGAAGACGGAUCCGACAGUGAGGGACGAAAGCUAGGGUCUCGAACCGG